CAGAGGUCUCAACCGUUGUUCGGAUUCAUCGGGCGUAAAGGGUGCGUAGGCGGUCGUGCAAGUCGGAUGUGAAAUCUCAGGGCUCAACCCUGAAACUGCAUUCGAUACUGCGUGGCUAGAGUGGCUGGAGAGGAGACUGGAAUUUACGGUGUAGCAGUGAAAUGCGUAGAUAUCGUAAGGAAGACCAGUGGCGAAGGCGAGUCUCUGGACAGCAACUGACGCUGAGGCACGAAGGCCAGGGGAGCAAACGGGAUUAGAUACCCCGGUAGUCCUGGCAGUAAACGGUGCACGUUUGGUGUAGGCGGAUUCGACCCCGCCUGUGCCGGAGCUAACGCGUUAAACGUGCCGCCUGGGAAGUACGGUCGCAAGAUUA
rnacentral:rRNA from 1 species